CCUUCGAUAGCUCAGUUGGAAGAGCGCAAGACUGUAAUGGGUUGCCCAAAGUUGAUCUUGAUGUCGCUGGUUCGAUCCCGGCUCGAAGGA
rnacentral:tRNA from 1 species